rnacentral:rRNA from 1 species
AGAGAGAGACAUGCGCGCAUAUCAAUAAGCGGAGGAAAAGAAACUAACAAGGAUUCCCUUAGUAACGGCGAGUGAAGCGGGAAGAGCUCAAAUUUGAAAUCUUCAAGGUUCUACCUUGACGAAUUGUAGUUUAUAGAAGUGUUUUCUGUUAGUGGAGUGGCAAAAGUUCUUUGGAAUAGGACAUCAUAGAGGGUGAGAAUCCCGUAUUUGGUCAUUCCUCUAGCGUUGUGAUACACUUUCAACGAGUCGGAUUGUUUGGGAAUGCAGUCCAAAAUGGGUGGUAAAUUUCAUCUAAAGCUAAAUAUUGGCGAGAGACCGAUAGCGAACAAGUACCGUGAGGGAAAGAUGAAAAGAACUUUGAAAAGAGAGUUAAACAGUACGUGAAAUUGUCAAAAGGGAAGCGUUUGACACCAGUGUUGUUUUUCCGAAAAUCAAUUACGAAUGUUUUAGUUUUUGAGGAGUUAUGACUUCAUCGGCUUGCUCCUUUCUUUAUGAAACUUUCUUAAUGCACUUUUCGGUUAACAAGUCAACAUCAAUUUCUUUUGUUGUAAAAGGGUAUGAGGAAGGUGGCUUUCUUUUCGGAGAAAGUGUUUAUAGCCUUGUGCCUCUGCAAUCGGAGAGAUUGAGGUCUGCAGCGUAGAUCCUUCGGGGUUAGAUACGUUUGUGCUAAGUUAUAGCUUUUCAUAGACAACUUGUUGACUAUGUUUAGUCUUGUAGCUUACUCGCUGACGCUAUUUUACCUACGCUUAGGAUGUUGAUAGUCACAGCGUGUAC